GAGCAGGCUUUAACAAGGAGAAUCAGGACAUAUGAAACUAAACGACUCAGCCUUCCUGAAAAUUCUAAGAGCAUCUGUCUACAAGGAAUAACACGGUGCUGAUUCCUCCAGAGACAGGACAGUCACCUUGUCCUUGAGCAAAUAGAAGCUGAGUAAUCAGAAUGGGGGACCCAGCUGGAUGGGGACCUGCUGAAAUGCCUCCGGUCUGGAGUCAGACGUCCAAGUGGGAGCGAAGGCCACACGCUCACAUGUUCUGAGUCUGCAAUCCAUCUGUGCGAGUCUCUGGCUGCUGCUGUGACAAAUUGCCACAGGUGGAGAGCCUUAAAACAGCAAGAGGUUGGCUGUCUUACAGUCUGGAGCUCGGGGUCACUGGAUUGGAUUCCAGCUGGCCGUGGGGCUGGCUCCAGGGCAGGGGACAAACUUCCCUGCAGUUCCUGGAACCUGAGGCCAUCUGUGUGCCUCGGCAUGAACUCUGCCCUGGAAUCGCCCCCACUUCUGCGUCAGGUGUCACAUCCUUCACGUUGUCCUUCCAGCUUCUCACCUCCUUCCCAUCAGGAUCCUUGUGACGAUGCUCAGGGCUGUCCAGGUAACCAGAAGAUCUUCAGUCUCAAGAUGCUCGACUUAAUCACACCUGCCAAGUGCACUCUACAGAAGGAAGGGGGGAGCAUCUGAACAGGCAGGUGCGUCUUCAGAGUCCUCGGAGAAGGCAUCUUGUUGGCGAGAUCCAGACCUGCAACAAGGGCGCUGCUCAACUAACACUUCUCAUCCGUAUCUCCAUUGUUUUGCCAGCAUCUGGAGCCAAACUCACCACGUGCCAGGUAUUUCUCCUCCAGGUGAAGAUCUUUCAUCUCCUCCAAAGACAUCUUUGUCGGUGAGACUAUUUCACUGGUACAUAAAAGAAAGGGGUGGUUAUGUCAUUUCUAAAGCUUUGAACAGUCAUUCCUUCUUUUAAAAUUUAAGAUUCUCUGAGAAACUUAGGAGAGAUGUGUUGGAAAUUCAUUAUUAUGUUUAAUGUUAACCUAAGAAGUGAGAGAAGUAAAAACUGUGGGACCUUGAGCAUUUUAAAUUACUUCAUUAUUUAAAAUAUAUAAAUUGGAAAAAACAGAAUGUUUUAUUUAAAGCUGAUUCUUCACAUCUUCCCCCAAAUAUAAAACAGACAAUCUUCUUCAUUAGGAAGAAAUUAGGAAAUUUUAAAAAAUAAUUUUCAAAAGAUGGUUGCAGGCAACAGACUAUCAAACAGUAUUGUGUGAUUCUGUUUCCAUAUGUGCUAUCUUUCUGCUACUCUGUGCCCCAUGACCUUGGGAUGUCUACCAUGGAAAAAUCUGACUUGCUAAAGAAUAAUGUCAAUUUUCUGAGUUCAAAUGGAUUCCUAAUUUUUUCAGUCUAUUUACGAGUAGAAGCUAUUUUUUGAAUGACAGUAUCCAUUAGCAUAUUUUGUUGUUUUGUUUUUCUGCCAAUAUUUUUAUUUUUAUCUUGCUCAUUUUUUCCAUUUACACUCAGCUGGAUUUGGUGGACUACAGGCAUAGCCAGUAUCGAAUAUUCUGUCUUAAAAUAUAAUGAUUGUUAGAGAACGAAAGACAAGCCACAGGCUUAGGAAGAAUAUUUGCAGAAGGUAUAUCUGAUAAAGUUCUGUUAUCCAAACUAUGCAGGGAACUCCUAAAACACAACAGAAAGAAAACAAACAACAUGAUCAAAAAGUGGGCAAAAGAGCUAAACCACACCCCGCCAAAGAUACAGAUGACACAUGAGCAUGUGUUGAAAGCUCGUGUCCAUACAGAACCUGAACACAGACAUCCAUGGCACUUUAUUCACAAGUGCUCAAACCUGGAAUCCAAGCCCUUAUAGGGAAUGGAUAAAAAGCCAUGGUGCAUUCACACAAUGGACUGUUACUCAGCACCAAAGAGAAAUGAACUGUCAAGCCAUGAAAGGACAUGGAGGAAGCUUCAAUGAAUAUACCAAGCAAAACAAGCCAGUCUGAGAAGUGUUAGUCACUCAGUCGUGUCCGACUCUUCGUGACCCCAUAGUCUGUAGCCUGCCAGUCUCCUCUGUCUGUGGGAUUUUUCCAGGCAAGAAUAGGUUGCCAUUCCCUUCUUCAGGGGAUCUUCUUGACCCUGGGAUUGAACCCACAUCUCUUGGACUGGCAGGCAGGUUCUUUACCACUGAGCCAUGCGGGCAGCCAGUAUGUAUGGGUAUAUUGUUCCCUUACUGAUGGACCUACAUGGCUCUUAAGUAGUGUUGCCAGGUAUACAUUUUGCUCUCCUUUUAUUGUCAACCUAAUUAUCCCAUUGUUUUCUGGCCUCUUUCUGUUAUUGAGAAUUUUGCUUUCAGUUCUUUAAGUAGAAUGUCUUUCUUCUCUAGUUUUAAAAACAGUAUUUUCUCUUUGUUUAUCUAGGCUGGUGUAAGUUUUUAUUUACCUUUCUUGGAACUUGCACUUUUGGUUUCAGGAUCACGAGUGUCAUCGAUUUGGAACACUCUCAGCCCUUCUUCCUCUUCUCCCUGUUCUUUCCUUGGAACUCCAGCCAGCUCUGUGUCUGACCCUCAGUUUCUGUCCUCAAAUCUCCUAGCCUUUACUCACUCUAUCUUUGGCUAUAGUCAAUGUCAUUCUUUUCAGCCUGCCUCUGUUGUAUGAAUUGUAUUGAAUCUGUUACUUAACUCGUUCUUAGUUUCAAUUAUUGUCAUUAUUUUUUACUUGUAGAUAUUUUGUCUGUUUCUUAUUUCCCACAGGUUAUGACUUCAUUCUUACACAUCUUAGUGGACUAUUACAUGUUGCUGGCGUUUCUGACUUCGGUACUUUGCAGGUGGGACUCAGCCAGCUCUGCUCCAUGUGCCCUUUCCCCAAGUGCCCUGUAGUUUCUCGUCCUGCACUCAUGACCGACAGCCCUUUACGUAUGGGAGCUCUUUGCUCAUUCAGAUAGUGGGCUCCUGCCCAGCUCUGUGACUGCUUUUGAAGAUUCUCAGCUGACCUCUAUGAAAAAGGCCUGCUAACAAACUGGGGAGGAGUGAUAGAAAAAACCCCACCAGUGGAUGCUGACCACCCCUGGAUAAACUAGGGGCAGAAACAGGCUCUUCACAGACUCAGAGUCUCACCCCAGAGGUUACAGAUGGACAAUGUGCCUUCGUGAUGGAGUGACAUGCAGGCGACACCUGGACCGAGAGCUGUCACCGAGCACAUGAGGGGUCAUCCUGUCCCCACACCACGUGUGGCUGCACAUUUAAAGGGCUGCUUGUUAUCUGCAUUCAGAACUUUCUGCUGUUUCUAUUGGGAGGGUUUUCAAGUAAUCUGGUUUUGUCAGUAGAACUGGAAGUUCCUUAAGCUAUCAUUUUUGGCUUAAUGUAAAACUUCUUUAUCCUGUAAAUUGGCAGAAAAGACCUCCCUGGAUAUGUUUUAAACUUUGUAAACUUCUCUACUGAGUCAAAAGAGAAAAACAUUAACCUAAAAAACACAUUCUUUCUUAAAUUAAAAGGUAAUCUACACAUA